UCCAAGGACAGGAGAGUGUGUCAGGUGUCAGGAGUCGCGUGGCCUCGACCUUGCCAGAAACCACAGCAAAGGCCCAAGACUGCAAAGCAAGGCCUCCCCAAAUCCCAAGCUGACUAGGAGACCCAGGACCAGACAUCCAGCCCAGAGGACUCAGGUGUGAGGCCAGGAGCAAAAUACUGCAGACACACGAGUCUACAGAAACAGCCUCCUGAGCCUUUCUAGGCUCCACUGAGGAGCAGAGGCUCCAAGAAACAGAGCCUAGAUGGCGGCAGGUCCCAGGACAGCAGCACCACCAGUCCAGAGCCUCAGGGAGCUGAAGAGGAGGCCCCUAGAGGACAGGCUGCAUGUCCCACCCUGUGGGGAGAGCCACGAGGGGACGAGGGGGCAAGGGGACGAGGCAGUAAUAGCAGCACUGAGAAAACCAGGCAGAAGGGCAACUUUAUCUUUUUUCAUUUUUUAUUUUUUCUUACCUUCUUUCUCAGAAGGGCAACUUUAGCUCUCAGGAAAAGAAACAUGAGCAAUACCUGCAGCCUGCGUCUCUUAGUCCUGAACACCUCUGAAGGUGAGCGGGAUAACAAACUGUGACCUGGAAGUGGGGAAAGGUGGUCACCACCAAAGAGGCCACAUGGCUGCCUCUGGACGGGUCACAGCCAGAACAUGGAUGCGGGCCUCGGGUCCUGCCUGCCACCCCCCCGAGUGACUCUGGUAAUACUGGAGGGACAGGUCCAGCGUUCCUGGCAGCCCAGCCUUUCCUCGGAGAGUUGCUGUGCUGGCCUCAUCACCCAUCUGCAAAAGCCAUGGAGGACACCAGGAUGAUAACAAGGACAAGCCCACCAUGGGUGACAGUCAGUCACAGGCUUUCCAGGAAAGCAAGUCACUGGAGGUAUCACAGCCCGCGACCCAGGGCCUAGUAAGGACACAAGGGACGAAAAGACGAGGAUGCGCAGGGCAACCAUGAGAAGACAGGUCCAGGGGCCUGCUGGCACUUUGAAGACGUGACCACCACAGAAUGUCACAGUGGGAAAGGGCCAAACGGAAAAUGACUGUGUGGGACGAUCCCACGUUUCAUGUUAAAAUAGAUACAGGCAGACGUGUUAACACAGUGUCUCGUGGGAGGUGGGAUUAAAGUUACUGCUUUUC